AUUUCGUUAACCCCUGGUGGAAAACCCAUACAUUUGUUUAAGUGUGGUUAAUUCACAUUGGGGGCAUAAUAAUUC